GCCACCUUAGCUUCAAUUGGUAGAGCACCGCUUUCGUAAAGCGGGGGUCGCGGGUUCGAAUCCCGCAGGUGGCU
rnacentral:tRNA from 3 species